UCUUUUGAGUUAAAAGGUGGUUGCUUGUCUUAAGUUCUAUAUUUUCUUUGGUGAUUAAAUCCUUAUCCUUAACUAAUGUAUCGUAUUUAUGUAGGUAUGAUUGAUUAGCGGUUUUUAGUUCUUUAUUCUUAAGAUUUAUGGCCUUAUAUUCUAUCAUUAAUUCAUUAAAUGCAUCAUAAAGUUCAUCAAAAGAAAAAUCAAGAUGCGAUUCGGAUGUUACCUCAUUUUCAUUGGCCAUGAAGCAGAAAUUGGCCUUUUCUUCUUGUUCAUCAUCCGAUGAAGAGGAUGAUGAGUCGGAGUCGGAUAGUAUUGUGACAAGA
rnacentral:lncRNA from 1 species